rnacentral:rRNA from 1 species
GACACAUGGAGCUGACAGAUACUAAUCGAUCGAGGACUUAACCAUAUUUUGAAUGAUGUCACACCUGUUAUCUAGUUUUGAGAGAACACUCUCAAUUUGUUUGGUGGCGAUAGCGAAGAGGUCACACCCGUUCCCAUACCGAACACGGAAGUUAAGCUCUUCAGCGCCGAUGGUAGUCGGGGGKUUCCCCCUGUGAGAGUAGGACGCCGCCAAGC